rnacentral:misc_RNA from 1 species
GAUGAAGAACGCAGCAAAAUGCGAUACUUGGUGUGAAUUGCAGAAUCCCGUGAACCAUCGAGUUUUUGAACGCAAGUUGCGCCCGAAGCCUUUUGGCCGAGGGCACGUCUGCCUGGGCGUCACGCAUCGCGUCGCCCCCCACAAUUCUCCGUAAAGGGAACGUGUGUUUUGGGGGCGGAUAUUGGUCUCCCGUGCUCAUGGCGUGGUUGGCCGAAAUAGGAGUCCCUUCGAUGGACGCACGAACUAGUGGUGGUCGUAAAAACCCUCGUCUUUUGUUUCGUGCCGUUAGUCGCGAGGGAAACUCUUAGAAAACCCCAGCGUGUCGUCUUUUGACGGCGCUUCGACCGCGACCCCAGGUCAGGCGGGACUACCCGCUGAGUUUAAGCAUAUCAUAAGCGGAGGA